rnacentral:rRNA from 1 species
AACAAACGCUGGCGGCGUGCCUAACACAUGCAAGUCGUACGAGAAAGGGUCCUUCGGGGCCUGAGUAAAGUGGCGCACGGGUGAGUAACGCGUGGAUAAUCUGCCCUUCAGUUGGGAAUAACUCAUCGAAAGGUGGGCUAAUACCGAAUAAUGCUGUGAGACCUCGGUUGAUCAGCCAAAGAGAGCCUCUGCUUGCAAGCCCUCGCUGAAGGAUGAGUCCGCGUACCAUUAGCUAGUUGGUAGGGUAAUGGCCUACCAAGGCGACGAUGGUUAGCUGGUCUGAGAGGAUUAUCAGCCACACUGGAACUGAGACACGGUCCAGACUCCUACGGGAGGCAGCAGUGAGGAAUCUUGCGCAAUGGGGGCAACCCUGACGUAGCAACGCCGCGUGAGUGAGGAAGGUCUUCGGAUCGUAAAGCUCUGUCGGAUGGAAAGAACCGCAUAGGGGUAAACAGCCCCUGUGUCUGACGGUACCAUCAAAGGAAGCACCGGCUAACUCCGUGCCAGCCGCCGCGGUAAUAC